AGGUGACGUUUUGUGAGGGCGGAACCAAAAGUGUGGAAGACGGGUUCCGCCCGUCGAUGGUUCCGCCCGGACGCUUCACUUAGAACACCGGAAUUUCCGGGGUUUCCCCGAAACCAAAAUUAAGCCUGAUCACGCUCAGGUGGGGCAAAUUAACACAGCGGUUGCUAAUAGGCUGACAAGGAGAAGAGUCAGUGUAUAAAAACACCUUUGCAGACAUCAAACGGUGUGCUUGUGGUAUACUUUGUAUACGCUGUGUUGCUGCUUUGCAGACGGACCACGCUGGUCGGAUCGCUCUCCUGGGGAAGAGAGGAAGAGACAGUCAGCUGACGAAGGAAUAUUGUGGAGUUUCAUUUGAGAAAGAGUGGACACAGAGCCAUCAAGAGUGCAGUUAAUAGCAGUUGUUGACAACCAAGCGUGAGUAACAGCUGUGGUACUUAUCUGUGCAAUACUUGUACGAAGAGUUGUUUUGGUGUGUGCCUUUGUGUUUUUGAGGUCCCUGGCCCCACUGGAGAGGGAAGCGUGGGCGAGCCGCGGGUUGACCGGAAGCACGGACGAAGCACUUGGUAGGAAGCACCGUUCACCAGUAAAACAGUGGCCCUGUGGGAAAAAGGAAGCGCAGGUGAGCCAGAGGAGUGAUAACCAACACGCCGGGCCUGUGAAUAACACACAUCUCACUCUCAUUUGCGGUCCAGUUAUCGCCCAACCAUCCUCUCGAGGUCGUCGUAGCCAGGUGGCAAGGGCGAUCUAAAAAUCAUGUGAAGUUGUAUAUGAGUGCUGUGGGUGAGUUUCACUGAUUGAUGGUGUUUACGCUUUACUUGCUGUGUGUAUGCUGUGCUUGUAGCGUUCAAACUGCCUAGCCUCCGAGUCACGAGACGACGACAUCCGUUGUGGCCUGGGUCCUAAGGAGAGCGAGAAAAUUGAGCCCUGUGCCCGGGGUGUGUCAACGAGAGCUUCGUUUGUCCAUAGAGCAGACAGUGGUGAAACCCAGUGAGUAUUAUCAAGAGUGUACCGUGCGGACUGUGGGUUGUAACGGUGUGUGUACUGACCUCUCCAACAGAAGCUCGUGGUGAGCGGAGCCCCGACGAAGGUUCGCCCCAACUCGUGACCCCGGUCGUGGAAGAAGGAGGGGGAGUUUGGGAAGCGUUCGGCUCCGUGUCAUCGGACCCACUAGUCCCUACGACGCCCGGACAGCCGGAGUGGAUGGGCGAAGGAAUACGGUGCACCGACACUGUAGCGAAAAUCCACUGUUUGCAGCAAUCACCUACCUGUACAAGUGAAGCUCUGUGCGCAUGAAGAUCCCCAGUGCUAAAUUACCUACCUGUGCCGGUGAAGCUCUGUGUGGGAACGAAGAUCCUCCAGUGCUGUGGGUAACGUAACCUGUGGAGAGAACUUGACCUGUGGCUAUAGCCAUCACUUACCGUUCCAACGAAGGUCCCGUGUUGAACGAACAGCGACUAGUAACGAAGUACCUUACCCUUGUCUGACUAUUAUUUGAUUCUGCCUCCAGGAGAAGCGGAGCGCGCCACGGAUUGUUGGGCCAGAGCCCCCAAAGGAGCCCCUGUCCCCAGUCUUUCCCCCAAGUGGCCCUGGAGGCGAAGAAGAGACACAUUAGUUUUAAAUUGCCCUUUUCCCCUUCCCCCUUUCCUUUUUAAAUAUUUAAUAAAGUUUGUUUUAACUAUA